rnacentral:rRNA from 1 species
UUUGAUCCUGGCUCAGGAUGAACGCUAGCGGGAGGCCUAACACAUGCAAGCCGAGCGGUAGAGUUUCUUCGGAAACUUGAGAGCGGCGCACGGGUGCGUAACACGUGUGCAACCUACCUUUAUCUGGGGGAUAGCCUUUCGAAAGGAAGAUUAAUACCCCAUAAUAUAAUGAUUGGCAUCAAUUAUUAUUGAAAACUCCGGUGGAUAGAGAUGGGCACGCGCAAGAUUAGAUAGUUGGUGAGGUAACGGCUCACCAAGUCAAUGAUCUUUAGGGGUCCUGAGAGGGAGAUCCCCCACACUGGUACUGAGACACGGACCAGACUCCUACGGGAGGCAGCAGUGAGGAAUAUUGGACAAUGGGUGAGAGCCUGAUCCAGCCAUCCCGCGUGAAGGAAGACGGUCCUAUGGAUUGUAAACUUCUUUUGUACAGGGAUAAACCUACUCUCGUGAGGGUAGCUGAAGGUACUGUACGAAUAAGCACCGGCUAACUCCGUGCCCGCAGCCGCGGUAAUACGGAGGGUGCAAGCGUUAUCCGGAUUUAUUGGGUUUAAAGGGUCCGUAGGCGGACUUGUAAGUCAGUGGUGAAAUCUCAUAGCUUAACUAUGAAACUGCCAUUGAUACUGCAGGUCUUGAGUAAAUUUGAAGUGGCUGGAAUAAGUAGUGUAGCGGUGAAAUGCAUAGAUAUUACUUAGAACACCAAUUGCGAAGGCAGGUCACUAAGAUUUAACUGACGCUGAUGGACGAAAGCGUG